GGACUAAGAGUAUCCCAAGAAAAAGCUUCUAACUUUAAUCUUAAGCAGUGAAAUUCUGUUUUUAGUUCU
rnacentral:tRNA from 1 species